rnacentral:rRNA from 1 species
UACGGGGGGAGCAAGCGUUGUUCGGAUUUACUGGGCGUAAAGGGCGGGUAGGCGGCCACUGCAAGUCGGUUGUGAAAUCUCCGGGCUUAACCCGGAAAGGUCAGCCGAUACUGCGGGGCUAGAGUGCAGAAGGGGCAACUGGAAUUCUCGGUGUAGCGGUGAAAUGCGUAGAUAUCGAGAGGAACACCUGCGGCGAAGGCGGGUUGCUGGGCUGACACUGACGCUGAUGCGCGAAAGCUAGGGGAGCGAACGGG